AUUGAACGCUGGCGGCAUGCCUUACACAUGCAAGUCGAACGGCAGCACGGGAGCUUGCACCUCGUGGGGAGGGCGGGUCGCGGGCGUGAUACAUAUGAACAUGUACCGUCGUGGGGGUGAGCGCGGAGAAAGCCGGAUUAAUACUGCUUACGAACACCGGAUGAAAGCGGAGGACCUUCGGCCCCCGCCCUUGCGGGUUGGACGAUGCCGGUUUAGCUAGUUGGUGGGGUAAAGGCCUACCAAGGCGACGAUCAGUAGCUGGUCUGAGAGGAAGAGCAGCCACACUGGAACUGAGACACGGCCCAGACUCCUACGGGAGGCAGCAGUGGGGAAUUUUGGACAAUGGGCGAAAGCCUGAUCCAGCAAUGCCGCGUGUGUGAAGAAGGCCUUCGGGUUGUAAAGCACUUUUGUCGGGAAAGAAAACCAGGGCGCUAAUACGGUCGGGUGAUGACGGUACCGGAAGAAUAAGCACCGGCUAACUACGUG
rnacentral:rRNA from 1 species